GAUGAAGAACGUAGCAAAACGCGAUAAGUAAUGUGAAUUGCAGAAUUCAGUGAAUCAUCGAAUCUUUGAACGCACAUUGCGCCCGCUGGUAUUCCGGCGGGCAUGCCUGUUCGAGCGUCAUUUCAACCCUCAAGCCCCCGGGUUUGGUGUUGGGGAUCGGCUCUGCCCUUCUGGGCGGUGCCGCCCCCGAAAUACAUUGGCGGUCUCGCUGCAGCCUCCAUUGCGUAGUAGCUAACACCUCGCAACUGGAACGCGGCGCGGCCAUGCCGUAAAACCCCAACUUCUGAAUGUUGACCUCGGAUCAGGUAGGAAUACCCGCUGAACUUAAGCAUAUCAAUAAGCGGAGGA
rnacentral:misc_RNA from 1 species